ACAAAAGAAAGAGGAGAGCAGUUGGCAAUAGAAUAUGGGAUCAAGUUCAUGGAGACGAGCGCCAAGGCCUCGAUCCACGUAGAAGAAGCGUUCUUUACGCUAGCAAGGGAUAUCAAGAUGAAGAUGGAGAAGAAAUUGGAAGCAAGCAAUCCUCCGAAAGGUGGGCACCAGCUCAAAUCCUACGAGCCUCAGAGAAAGCCUCCCAGCUGGCUGUCUCGCUGCUCUUUGCUCUGACGAAUGGAAACAUCGUUCCACUUCUGGCCUCAUUUUGUUUCCUGGGCAGAAAUUCGUCCGUCAUCACUUCAUGUUGUCCCACUGUGAAAUCAAAGAAAGUUUUGAUACAUUAAUUACAGUAUUUGUAAUACAUAAAACCAAAAUGAGGUAUUGAGGGUUCUUUUGUCACAAGAAAGUACUGGGGGAAUUAAAGGGUCAUGUUUCUAGCCCAAUAUUUUGGUGCACAAGACUGACAAAUGCUCGCAAGUGUCCAGAUCAUGUGUGAGAUUUUAUUUUUCUGUUGUCUCGAUGAAGAAUACUUGGGUAAGCACCUCUAAAUAAAUACUCAAUACUUUAAUUUAAAAAUGUAUUUUGAAUUUGUGCUGUUUUAUUAUGUAAAAGGUGUUUUGUCUGAAAUUAUCAUUGGAAUUUUUAAUUUUUGUUCUGGUUCCCCCACCCACUUUAUACUUUGUCCUGCCUCUGGCCCGUCUCUCGCUUUUUUCUCUUUGUCAUGUUUUUGUUUGCUAUUUUCCCCAGGUCACAUGUCAGGUUUAGGGUUGGUUUACAAGCAGAAAUGUAUCUAGUUCCCUUUUACACUGGCAAGUGGUUUUAUGUGAUAGAACUCUCUGCACAGAGCAGUACGAUAAAUCAUGUGUCAUGUAUUAGUAUUACUAUUAUGUAUGUUGAUAGGAGGUAAGACUACUUAUUGUUUUGUAAUGCAGUUAAACAGAUUGAGGCAAUAAAUUUAGUGAAGGAUUA